rnacentral:rRNA from 1 species
AUUGAACGCUGGCGGCAGGCCUAACACAUGCAAGUCGAGCGGAUGAAGGGUGCUUGCUCCUGGUUUCAGCGGCGGACGGGUGAGUAAUGCCUAGGAAUCUCCCUGGUUGUGUGGGAUAACGUCCGGAAACGGGCGCUAAUACCGCAUACGUCCUGAGGGAGAAAGUGGGGGAUCUUCGGACCUCACGCUAUCAGAUGAGCCUAGGUCGGAUUAGCUAGUUGGUGGGGUAAAGGCCUACCAAGGCGACGAUCCGUAACUGGUCUGAGAGGAUGAUCAGUCACACUGGAACUGAGACACGGUCCAGACUCCUACGGGAGGCAGCAGUGGGGAAUAUUGGACAAUGGGCGAAAGCCUGAUCCAGCCAUGCCGCGUGUGUGAAGAAGGUCUUCGGAUUGUAAAGCACUUUAAGUUGGGAGGAAGGGCAGUAGGUUAAUACCUUGCUGUUUUGACGGUACCAACAGAAUAAGCACCGGCUAACUUCGUG